UACGUAGGGUGCAAGCGUUAAUCGGAAUUACUGGGCGUAAAGCGUGCGUAGGCGGCUAUGUAAGACAGAUGUGAAAUCCCUGGGCUUAACCUAGGAACUGCAUUUGUGACUGCAUUGCUAGAGUGUGGUAGAGGGAGAUGGAAUUCCGCAUGUAGCAGUGAAAUGCGUAGAUAUGGGGAGGAACACCGGUGGCGAAGGCGGCCAUCUGGACGGAUACUGACGCUGAGACGCGAAAGCGUGGGGAGCAAACAGGG
rnacentral:rRNA from 1 species